UGCCAGCCGCCGCGGUAAUACGGAAGGUGCAAGCGUUAUCCGGAGUCACUGGGUUUAAAGGGUGCGUAGGCGGCCCGAUCAGUCAGAAGUGAAAGCUCAUCGCUUAACGAUGGAACUGCUUUUGAUACUGUCGGGCUUGAAUUAGGUUGAGGUUAGCGGAAUGUGUCAUGUAGCGGUGAAAUGCAUAGAUAUGACAUAGAACACCAAUUGCGAAGGCAGCUGGCUAGACCUAUAUUGACGCUGAGGCACGAAAGCGUGGGGAGCGAACAGGAUUAGAUA
rnacentral:rRNA from 1 species